GACGUAGGGCGCGAGCGUUGUCCGGAUUUAUUGGGCGUAAAGAGCUCGUAGGCGGCUUGUCGCGUCGAAUGUGAAAACUCGGGGCUCAACUCCGAGCUUGCAUUCGAUACGGGCAGGCUAGAGUUCGGUAGGGGAGACUGGAAUUCCUGGUGUAGCGGUGAAAUGCGCAGAUAUCAGGAGGAACACCGGUGGCGAAGGCGGGUCUCUGGGCCGAUACUGACGCUGAGGAGCGAAAGCGUGGGUAGCAAACAGG
rnacentral:rRNA from 1 species